GGCAAUUGUGUACUAUCUGUGAUCUUGCAGUGGUUGGGGCAGAUGCUUCAGGGUUGCUCUGUUCUCCUUCACAGAUACGAUGAUCAAGUUGCUGAAGUUGGAUCUACUUUUUAACUUUAUCUUGCUGACCUCUUUUAGCUGCAGAAACCUGCCUGGGUUGAUCGAUUCAUAUCUGUGUGUGAAAGGUCAGAUUACUGAAGAGGAGUUGCGAACCAAAUUAAUUUUUUGUGCUAUUUCCUUUUAUUUGCUUUUUGUUUAAUUCCUCUUAAUAGUUCAUAAUGAUUUUCAAUGUAAGAAUAAAUUUGGAAUUUUCGUUAUCAGGCUUUUCUUGUCUGUUGAUGUCUAUAGACAAGUAUAUUCAUAGGUGCCUUGUUAAUUAAAUGAUGUCAUAGGUAGCACUUACAUAUCGAUUUUAUGCAUAUGUGAUUUCAGAAACUUGCUUUUUGCCAAUUAUUCGAUCUCGGGACUUUUGAAUUGGGGCCCUUCUUGGGCAGUGGAAGUUGAUUCUUUUUCCAAUUCAAAUAGUCAUAAGAGAUUUGUGGAGAUAUAUUUGCAUUAAAAUGGAUAUGUUGAGAUAUACUUAGUGCAACGAAAGUUAAUAUAAGAUUCAAUUAUAAAUUUUAAAUACAAAUUUUAUCAAUUAGUUAAAUAGUAACAAUUUUUAAAAAUAAGUUCUUUAAAGGUCGGUGAUUUACAUUUUACUUUUUAAAAAAAAAAAAAUCGUCGUGGAAUGAAAAUAUUUUCUUUGAGUCGCAGCCGCAAAUAACUUGGUUACGGCAGCGGCCUUUAACCUCUGAAAUGGUAGCAUCUUUUGCGUCCUCAAAACGUCGUCGUUAAAUAAAAAGUGGGAAGGAAGGCACUUGAAAGAAAAGUCUGUACAUCACAAACAUAGUUCCAGUACUUGAAAAAAAAAGACUCAGAUCCUUAAAAAAGAGAAUCGAAAACUCUCUCCUCUCUAUUCAUAUAAAGCGAAAGAUGGAAAGGCGCUUCCGUUUUCGUUUGUAAUUUUAGAUGCUACAUCAGAUCUGAGGUAAUUUUUCUUAGUUUCAUGCCCAUAACUUCGAUCUUCCUUAUCUCUAUGCUUGGUUCCCAAAUCCAAAUCUCCCUGUUUGGUUACGACGAUUAUUUUAUUUAGACGUUGGAUUUGGUUUUGCUUUGUAGAAAAUUGGCGGUCGAAGAGAAAGAAGAAGAAAAACGAGAAGGGGGAGAAGAUGUUGACAAAGUUUGAGACGAAGAGUAAUAGAGUAAAGGGACUGAGUUUCCACGCUAAGAGGCCAUGGAUCUUAGCCAGUCUCCACAGUGGCGUUAUCCAGUUAUGGGACUAUCGUAUGGGUACUCUGAUUGAUCGAUUCGACGAACACGAUGGCCCCGUUCGCGGCGUCCAUUUCCACAUGUCUCAGCCUUUGUUCGUCUCUGGAGGUUGGGAUUUCAUUUAUUUUCGCUCAAUUUUAUCUGUGCUUAGUAAAUCUUGUUGAUUGUUUUGGUGAUCUAAGGAAUUGGAUGUGAAGUUGUUAUUUGUGCUGAUUAAUUAGGAUUGGAUUAGCUUAACUUGUGGAGCUCUUUUAUUCUUGUGACUAUGAAAUUUGAGAAAAUCUGAUGCGUAUGAUAAUACUGGAUCUAGAUUUACUACAGUGAUUUCAUGUAGUCAGCCUUAGUUUACUCCUUCUAGAUCUGACGUUCUCGAGAAAAUGAAUGCCAAUCCAACCAUAGACUGAAUUAUAUAGGCUAUAGUAUAUACGUUCAUAUCUGCAUGAACACAUAUAUUUAUAUACAUUUAUUCAGUGGUUUUUCGUAUACUGCUUGCAAUGUAUAGAUCUAUUUAUAUUGUUUUGAUGUCUUUUUUUUAAACUAUAAAUUUAAAGGGUUUUGAUCAUGGAGAUUCUUAAAACAAUAAGUUUGAGUACAAAUGAGUGUGAAUUGGUUAUAACUAUUUAGGAUUUAAUGCACUUAAAUUUUGUACGUACAAAUGGAAUAUAUUAAAUUUAUUACAAUUUAAAUUCCAUUUUAACAGAAUCCUCAUUCACUCGUAUUAGUGAUUCUAUCAUUAGAUUUAGGAGAACAUAAAUAGAUUUAUAUAAGAAGGCGAAUCAAAAUUUACUUAUUUAUAAUUUAAAGUUAUUAAAGGAUAAUUUAGUAAUACAAAAAAUAUUAAUGUACUUUUGUUUGGCAGGCUACACUGCGUAAAAGAUAGGGGAAUAGCACUUUGUAGCACUUAUCCCUUUGUUUAAACUGAGAAAUAACUCGUUCAACUUGGCACCUUAAAUGUUAAACUACCAUCUGAAUAGAUCUAUUGCUGAAAAGGGAUGCCUUUGAGUGUAGUAAUUUGAAAAUUUUUAAAACUGGUCAACAUGGGCAAGGAAAGUCUGAAUUUGAAGUUUUUAUUAACUCAAAAAGUUACAUUUGUGCUAUGAUUUUCUUUUAAAAAGCAUAGGAUUCUUAUGCAAUACAAAUGAUACUAAAAAUGAUGGGAUUUUUCAGGGGAUGACUACAAGAUAAAGGUCUGGAACUACAAGUUGCAUAGAUGUCUUUUCACACUUCUUGGGCAUCUUGAUUAUAUUCGUACUGUGCAAUUUCAUCAUGAGCAUCCGUGGAUUGUGAGUGCCAGUGAUGAUCAGACUAUUCGCAUCUGGAACUGGCAGUCACGAACUUGCAUAUCUGUGUUGACUGGCCAUAAUCAUUAUGUUAUGUGUGCCUCAUUCCAUCCUAAAGAAGACCUCGUUGUAUCGGCCUCCCUUGAUCAGACUGUUCGGGUUUGGGAUAUUGGUUCCCUGAGAAAGAAGACUGUCUCCCCAGCGGAUGACAUUUUGCGGUUAAGUCAGAUGAACACAGAUCUUUUUGGUGGUGUUGACUCAGUUGUUAAGUAUGUGUUGGAAGGUCAUGACCGAGGAGUAAAUUGGGCUGCAUUUCACCCCACCUUACCGCUGAUUGUCUCUGGAGCAGAUGAUCGACAAGUGAAAUUGUGGCGUAUGAACGGUAAUUAUCGGAAACUGUGCCUUCUUCUCCAUUUAUAUUUCAUUUACUAGCGAUAUUGAUUAAUUUUUUUCUUAUGUAAAUACACUUAUUGGCCAAUUAAAAUCUUCAUAAGAACUUACCUAAUUAUCUUCUUUUUUUUUUUUUCUGAAAUUUGAUGUAUGCUAAAUGGCCCAUUAUAUAUGAGCCAAGCUACCUCAAAUCCUCCAUUAUAUUUAUGAUCUUGGCAGUGUAUAGGUGCGGAGCCCAAAGAGUGUCCUUGUACAACCUGCUAAAGUUGACAGAUCAAUUUUUUUUUUGCAGCAGAGAAUUCAGACCCCUGAAUUGUUGUGGGACUGAGUAAAUUGUUUAUUUGUUUGCAGAGACAAAGGCUUGGGAAGUGGAUACCUUGAGAGGGCACAUGAAUAACGUGUCAUGUGUUAUGUUUCAUGCCAAACAAGACAUCAUUGUGUCUAAUUCCGAGGAUAAAAGUAUUCGUGUGUGGGAUGUAACAAAGCGAACUGGACUUCAAACUUUCCGUCGAGAACAUGACAGAUUCUGGAUUCUUGCUGCCCAUCCUGAAAUGAAUCUUUUGGCUGCUGGACAUGACAGUGGCAUGAUUGUAUUUAAGCUAGAGAGAGAGCGUCCUGCUUUUGCAGUGAGUGGGGAUUCUCUCUUUUAUGCCAAAGACCGGUUUUUAAGAUAUUAUGAGUUUUCAACUCAAAGAGAGGCGCAAGUAAUUCCAAUUCGACGGCCUGGUUCCACAACGUUGAAUCAAAGUCCAAGGACUCUUUCUUACAGUCCUACAGAAAAUGCUGUUCUUAUCUGCUCAGAUGUUGAUGGAGGAUCUUAUGAGUUGUAUGUGAUACCAAAAGACAGCAUUGGUAGGGGUGACAGUUUGCAGGAGGCAAAGAGAGGUCUUGGGAGUUCUGCUAUAUUUGUGGCUCGAAACCGGUUUGCUGUGCUCGACAAAGGCAACAACCAAGUCUUAAUCAAGAAUCUAAAAAAUGAAGUAGUUAAAAAGAGUGGCCUCCCAGUGCCUACGGAUGCAAUAUUUUAUGCUGGAACAGGUAACUUGUUGUGUAGGUCAGAGGAUAGAGUAGUUAUAUUUGAUCUCCAGCAGAGGAUUGUUCUUGGUGAUCUUCAAACCCCCUUUGUGAAGUAUAUUGUUUGGUCUAAUGAUAUGGAAAGUGUUGCUUUGCUCAGCAAGCAUGCCAUUAUCAUUACUAACAAGAAGCUUGUGCACCAGUGCACUCUUCAUGAGACAAUACGUGUAAAAAGUGGAGGCUGGGAUGACAAUGGUGUUUUCAUUUACACCACCCUAAACCAUAUAAAAUACUGUCUUCCCAAUGGAGAUAGUGGAAUAAUUCGAACGCUUGAUGUUCCAAUAUACAUAACAAAGGUUUCAGGAAAUACUUUAUUUUGCCUGGAUCGUGAUGGGAAGAAUAGGACUAUAGUCAUUGAUGCUACAGAAUACAUUUUCAAGCUCUCUCUGCUUCGGAAGAGAUAUGAUCAUGUUAUGGGCAUGAUAAGAAACUCCAAGCUUUGCGGUGAGGCUAUGAUUGCUUAUCUCCAACAGAAGGGGUUCCCUGAAGUGGCUCUCCAUUUUGUCAAAGACGAGAAAACACGCUUUAAUUUGGCUCUAGAGAGUGGGAACAUUCAAAUUGCUGUUGCAUCAGCUAAGGAGAUAGAUGACAAAGAUCAUUGGUAUAGGUUGGGUGUGGAGGCUCUUCGCCAAGGCAAUGCAGGUAUAGUGGAAUAUGCUUAUCAGAAGACAAAAAACUUUGAGAGGUUGUCUUUUCUUUAUCUCAUAACCGGUAACCUGGAAAAGCUGUCCAAGAUGCUGAAAAUUGCAGAAGUUAAGAAUGAUGUUAUGGGUCAGUUUCACAAUGCUUUGUAUCUUGGUGAUAUCCAGGAACGUGUUAAAAUCCUGGAGAAUUCUGGUCACUUGCCUCUUGCUUACCUUACAGCAUCGGUCCAUGGGCUACAGGAUGUGGCUGAAAGGUUAGCAGCUGAGUUGGGAGAUGAUGUUCCUCCUCUGCCAGAGGGGAAAGAACCUUCCCUUUUGAUGCCUUCUGCCCCCGUUUUAUGUGGUGGUGAUUGGCCCCUUCUGAGAGUCAUGAAAGGCAUAUUUGAAGGUGGAUUGGAUAGUGAUAUUGGCAGGGGUGCUGUGGAUGAAGAGGAGGAGGGUGUAGAAGGUGAUUGGGGUGAAGAUCUUGAUGUGGUUGAUGUUGAUGGCUUACAGAAUGGUGACAUCACUGCAAUUUUGGAGGAUGGGGAAGUGGCUGAAGAAAAUGAAGAAGAGGGUGGAUGGGACCUUGAAGAUUUGGAACUUCCCCCUGAGGCAGACACCCCAAAGGUUUCUGGGAAUGCUCGGUCAUCUGUUUUUGUGGCACCUACUCCAGGUAUGCCUGUAAAUCAGAUUUGGAUUCAGAGAUCAUCUCUUGCUGCUGAGCAUGCAGCAGCUGGCAAUUUUGAUACAGCAAUGCGAUUGCUUAGCAGGCAACUUGGCAUUAGAAACUUUGCCCCUUUGAAGUCGAUGUUUCUUGAUCUUAACACUGGUAGCCAUAGCUAUCUCCGUGCAUUUGCAUCUGCACCAGUGGUGUCACUGGCAGUUGAGCGUGGAUGGAACGAAUCUGCUAGUCCUAAUGUGAGGGGUCCACCAGCACUUGUGUUCAAUUCCUCUCAAUUGGAUGAAAAGGUGAAUGCGGGUUACAAGGCCACAACAGCUGGGAAAUUCACUGAAGCUCUUCGGCUUUUCCUCAACAUUCUUCAUACAAUUCCAUUGAUUGUUGUGGAGUCAAGGAGGGAAGUUGACGAAGUCAAGGAAUUGAUUAUUAUUGCUAAGGAGUAUGUUCUUGGUCUACAGAUGGAGCUUAGGAGGAAAGAAAUGAAAGACAAUCCAGUACGCCAGCAGGAGCUUGCUGCCUACUUCACCCACUGCAACCUUCGGACACCUCACUUAAGGCUUGCUUUGCAAAAUGCAAUGUCUGUAUGCUUCAAGGCAAAGAACAUGGCCACAGCAGCUAACUUUGGCAGACGUCUACUAGAAACAAACCCCACAAAUGAGAAUCAAGCAAAGACUGCAAGGCAAGUGCUUCAAGCUGCUGAGAGGAAUAUGACAGAUGCCUCUCAGCUGAACUAUGAUUUCAGAAACCCAUUUGUGGUAUGUGGGGCAACUCAUGUGCCAAUUUACAGAGGACAGAAAGAUGUAUCUUGCCCAUAUUGCACUACACGCUUCGUUCCUAGCCAGGAAGGGCAAUUGUGUACUAUCUGUGAUCUUGCAGUGGUUGGGGCAGAUGCUUCAGGGUUGCUCUGUUCUCCUUCACAGAUACGAUGAUCAAGUUGCUGAAGUUGGAUCUACUUUUCAACUUUAUCUUGCUGACCUCUUUUAGCUGCAGAAACCUGCCUGGGUUGAUCGAUUCAUAUCUGUGUGUGAAAGGUCAGAUUACUGAAGAGGAGUUGCAAACCAAAUUAAUUUUUUGUGCUAUUUCCUUUUAUUUGCUUUUUGUUUAAUUCCUCUUAAUAGUUCAUAAUUAUUUUCAAUGUAAGAAUAAAUUUGGAGUUUUUCGUUAUCAGGC
rnacentral:lncRNA from 1 species